rnacentral:tRNA from 1 species
UGGGGUGUAGCUCAGCGGUAGAGCGCCCUCCUUGGAGAAAACCUUACAUUAGGGUUUUGUCCAAGAGGGGACAUCUAUUACGGCAUAGGUUCGAAUCCUAUCACCCCAA